UACGUAGGGUGCAAGCGUUGUCCGGAAUUAUUGGGCGUAAAGGGCUCGUAGGCGGCCAACUAAGUCGGAUGUGAAAUCCCCAGGCUCAACCUGGGAACUGCAUCCGAUACUGGAUGGCUUGAAUUCGGGAGAGGGAUGCAGAAUUCCAGGUGUAGCGGUGAAAUGCGUAGAUAUCUGGAGGAAUACCGGUGGCGAAGGCGGCAUCCUGGACCGACAUUGACGCUGAUGAGCGAAAGCUAGGGGAGCAAACGGG
rnacentral:rRNA from 1 species